rnacentral:rRNA from 1 species
UACGGAGGGUGCGAGCGUUGUCCGGAAUCACUGGGCGUAAAGGGCGCGUAGGUGGCUACUCAAGCGCGCGGUGAAAGCCCGGGGCUCAACCCCGGGUCGGCCGUGCGGACUCGGAGGCUCGAGCACUGUAGGGGCGGGUGGAAUUCCGGGUGUAGCGGUGGAAUGCGUAGAGAUCCGGAAGAACACCGGUGGCGAAGGCGGUCUGCUGGGGUAAUGCUGACACUGAGGCGCGACAGCGUGGGGAGCAAACAGG